rnacentral:rRNA from 1 species
CUACCGGGGUAUCUAAUCCUGUUUGCUCCCCGCACUUUCGUGCCUCAGCGUCAGUUUGAGCCUAGUAAGCUGCCUUCGCAAUCGGAGUUCCUGAUAAUAUCUAUGCAUUUCACCGCUACAUUAUCAAUUCCGCCUACCUCGUCUCAACUCAAGCCCUGCAGUAUCAAUACCAGCCCGAUAGUUAAGCUACCGUCUUUUAAUACUGACUUACAGGGCCGCCUACGCACCCUUUAAACCCAAUAAAUCCGGACAACGCUUGCACCCUCCGUAUUACCGCGGCUGCUGGCAC